UACGUAGGGUGCGAGCGUUAAUCGGAAUUACUGGGCGUAAAGUGUGCGCAGGCGGCGAAGCAAGUCGAGUGUGAAAGCCCCGGGCUUAACUUGGGAAUUGCGCUCGAAACUACUUUGCUGGAGUGUGGCAGAGGAAGGUGGAAUUCCACGUGUAGCGGUGAAAUGCGUAGAGAUGUGGAGGAACACCAAUGGCGAAGGCAGCCUUCUGGGCCAACACUGACGCUCAUGCACGAAAGCGUGGGGAGCAAACAGG
rnacentral:rRNA from 1 species